rnacentral:tRNA from 1 species
UUUAAUAUGGCAGACUAGUGCAAUGGAUUUAAAUUCCAUUUAUAAAAUUAAUAAUUUUUAUUAAAA